rnacentral:rRNA from 1 species
CAGCCGCCGCGGGAAAACGUAGGGUGCAAGCGUUAAUCGGAAUUACUGGGCGUAAAGCGUGCGCAGGCGGUUUUGUAAGACAGAGGUGAAAUCCCCGGGCUCAACCUGGGAACUGCCUUUGUGACUGCAAGGCUAGAGUACGGCAGAGGGGGAUGGAAUUCCGCGUGUAGCAGUGAAAUGCGUAGAUAUGCGGAGGAACACCGAUGGCGAAGGCAAUCCCCUGGGCCUGUACUGACGCUCAUGCACGAAAGCGUGGGGAGCAAACAGGAUUAGAUACCCCGGUAGUCCCUGUCUCUUAUAA